AGUGAACGCUGGCGGUAGGCCUAACACAUGCCAGUCGAACGGCAGCACAGUAAGAGCUUGCUCUUACGGGUGGCGAGUGGCGGACGGGUGAGGAAUACAUCGGAAUCUACUUUUUCGUGGGGGAUAACGUAGGGAAACUUACGCUAAUACCGCAUACGACCUACGGGUGAAAGCAGGGGAUCUUCGGACCUUGCGCGAUUGAAUGAGCCGAUGUCGGAUUAGCUAGUUGGCGGGGUAAAGGCCCACCAAGGCGACGAUCCGUAGCUGGUCUGAGAGGAUGAUCAGCCACACUGGAACUGAGACACGGUCCAGACUCCUACGGGAGGCAGCAGUGGGGAAUAUUGGACAAUGGGCGAAAGCCUGAUCCAGCCAUACCGCGUGGGUGAAGAAGGCCUUCGGGUUGUAAAGCCCUUUUGUUGGGGAAGAAAAGCAGCAGAUUAAUACCCGGCUGUUUUGACGGUACCCAAAGAAUAAGCACCGGCUAACUUCGUG
rnacentral:rRNA from 1 species